CCUACGGGAGGCUGCAGUGAGGAAUAUUGGUCAAUGGACGAGAGUCUGAACCAGCCAAGUAGCGUGAAGGAUGACUGCCCUAUGGGUUGUAAACUUCUUUUAUAAAGGAAUAAAACGAGGCACGUGUGCCUUUUUGCAUGUACUUUAUGAAUAAGGAUCGGCUAACUCCGUGCCAGCAGCCGCGGUAAUAAGGAGGGUCCGAGCGUUAUCCGGAUUUAUUGGGUUUAAAGGGAGCGUAGAUGGGUUGGUAAGUCAGUUGUGAAAGUUUGCGGCUCAACCGUAAAAUUGCAAUUGAUACUGGCAGUCUUGAGUACAGUUGAGGUAGGCGGAAUUCGUGGUGUAGCGGUGAAAUGCGUAGAUAUCACGAAGAACCCCGAUUGCGAAGGCAGCUUACUAAACUGUGACUGACAUUGAUGCUCGAAAGUGUGGGGAUCAAACAGGAUUAGAUACCCGGGUAGUC
rnacentral:rRNA from 1 species